CGGUAGGGUGCGAGCGUUAAUCGGAAUUACUGGGCGUAAAGCGUGCGCUGGCGGUUUUGUAAGGCAGGCGUGAAAUCCCCGGGCUCAACCUGGGAACUGCGCUUGUGACUGCAAGGCUAGAGUACGGCAGAGGGGGGUGGAAUUCCACGUGUAGCAGUGAAAUGCGUAGAGAUGUGGAGGAACACCAAUGGCGAAGGCAGCCCCCUGGGUCGAUACUGACGCUCAUGCACGAAAGCGUGGGUAGCAAACAGGAUUAGAUACCCUGGUAGUCCACGCCCUAAACGAUGUCAACUAGGUGUUGGGUGGGUAAAACCAUUUAGUACCGGAGCUAACGCGUGAAGUUGACCGCCUGGGGAGUACGGCCGCAAGGUUA
rnacentral:rRNA from 1 species